rnacentral:rRNA from 1 species
ACCUGUUUGAUCAUGACAGUUUUAUAUGCUUCUCUAAAAGAUUAAGCCAUGCAAAUGUAAGAAAGUACUACUUGAAUUAGUAAAUCGGUGAAAGGCUCCGUAAAUCAGUUAUUGUUUAUUUGAAUGUGGAAACUAGAAACAGUUUCAAAUAUUUAGGUGGAUAAUUGUGGGAAAACUAGAAAUAAUACAUGCGAAAAGAGGAGACUGUGGCAACACGGAAUCCUUGCAUUAACUAGUUGUUUUCAAGAGGUGUACAUUACACUUUUGAUGAUGAACUACAGUUUACUAAAUAGCAGAUUGAUAAUCUUUUUUAUCAACGCUUCAUUCAAAUUUCUGCUUUAUCAAUUAACGUUGGUACGGUAUUGGCGUACCAUGGUUAUAACGAGUAAGGAAUUCUAUGGGAAUGAUUCCUGAGAUUUCGCCUGAGAAAUAGCGAAAAUAUCUAAGGAUAGCAGCAGGCGCGAAAAUUACCCAAUGCAAAAACUGCGAGGUAGUGACAAGAAAUAACGACAGGAUUAUUUCAGUUAUAAAAAUAACUGAAAACCUGAUUGCAAUGAGUACAAUUUAAAAAUAUUAAUUAGAAUCAAUUUGAGGGCAAGUUCUGGUGCCAGCAGCCGCGGUAAUUCCAGCUCAAAUAGUGUAGAGGAUGGGUGAAAUCUAUUCUUUGUUCAUUUUACCAUAAAUAAAAUAGAGUGUUUAAAGCAUGUCAUUUAUUGACAAUUGAAUAAUUUAGUAUGGGAUAAUGAAAGACGAGAGAAAAAAGAGAGUACAUCUCGCAGCAUCAAGGAGAAUUCGUUCUUCUGUGGUGUUGGUCUUUUUUCUCUAAUGAUUAAUAGGGACAAUUGGGGCAAUUAGUAUUUCUACUCGAGCGGUGAAAUGCAUAGACAGUAGAAAGACUAACUAAUGCGAAAGCAUCUUGCAAGGGUGUUUUCAUUAAUCAAGAACGAAAGUUUGGGGAUCGAAGAUGAUCAGAUACCGUUGUAGUCCAAUUUUUUCUUUACAGUAAAAAAUGACAACAAAAGAUAGGGAAGAAUUGUAGAAUUACAAUUCUUUACUCUACUUUCUCAUAAUAGUUGUCUUUCCCUGAAUUUUGUAAGAAAUUAAGAGUCUUUAGUCUUUGGGGGUAGUAUGCAUCGCAAGAUUGAAACUUAAAUGAAUUGACGGAAGAGCACCACCAGGUGUGGAAUAUGCGGUUUAAUUUGACCCAACACGGGGAAACUCACCAGGACAGGACAUAAUAAGGAUUGACAGAUUGAAAGCUCUUUCAUGAUUGUAUGGAAAGUGGUGCAUGGCCGAAGUUAGUUCGUGGUUUGAAUUGUCUGCUUAAUUGCGUUAACGAACGAGACCUUUUGAAAUAAAUAGCGGUCAUUAGUUCUUGCAAAAGAAUGGAUUCAUGAACAGAGGCGUCAAAAACCUCCUUCAUGAAUCUAAUCAAAAUAUGGCUUCUUAUUUCGACUAUUGAUGUCCAAUCAAUGUAAGUUAAAGUCAAUUUCAGGUCUGUGAUGCCCUUAGAUGCCCUGGGCGACACGCG